UACGUAGGGGGCUAGCGUUGUCCGGAAUCAUUGGGCGUAAAGAGCUCGUAGGCGGUUUGUCGCGUCUGCUGUGAAAACUCAGGGCUUAACCCUGAGCCUGCAGUGGGUACGGGCAGACUAGAGUGUGGUAGGGGAGAUCGGAAUUCCUGGUGUAGCGGUGGAAUGCGCAGAUAUCAGGAGGAACACCGGUGGCGAAGGCGGAUCUCUGGGCCAUAACUGACGCUGAGGAGCGAAAGCAUGGGGAGCGAACAGG
rnacentral:rRNA from 1 species